rnacentral:rRNA from 1 species
CGGGACGGGUGAGUAACGCGUGGAUAACCUGCCUCACACUGGGGGAUAACAGUUAGAAAUGGCUGCUAAUACCGCAUAAGCGCACAGUACCGCAUGGUACGGUGUGAAAAACCCAGGUGGUGUGAGAUGGAUCCGCGUCUGAUUAGCCAGUUGGCGGGGUAACGGCCCACCAAAGCGACGAUCAGUAGUCGACCUGAGAGGGUGACCGGCCACAUUGGGACUGAGACACGGCCCAA